rnacentral:rRNA from 1 species
GUGGGGAAUAUUGCACAAUGGGGGAAACCCUGAUGCAGCGACGCCGCGUGAGUGAAGAAGUAUUUCGGUACGUAAAGCUCUAUCAGCAAGGAAGAAAAUGACGGUACUUGACUAAGAAGCCCCGGCUAACUACGUGCCAGCAGCCGCGGUAAUACGUAGGGGGCAAGCGUUAUCCGGAUUUACUGGGUGUAAAGGGAGCGUAGACGGUAUGGUAAGUCAGAUGUGAAAGCCCGGGGCUCAACCCCGGGACUGCAUUUGAAACUAUCAGACUAGAGUGCAGGGGAGGUAAGUGGAAUUCCUAGUGUAGCGGUGAAAUGCGUAGAUAUUAGGAGGAACACCAGUGGCGAAGGCGGCUUACUGGACUGUAACUGACGUUGAGGCUCGAAAGCGUGGGGAGCAAACAGGAUUAGAUACCCCGGUAGUCC